rnacentral:rRNA from 1 species
UACGGAGGGUGCAAGCGUUAUCCGGAUUCACUGGGUUUAAAGGGUGCGUAGGUGGGCUGUUAAGUCAGUGGUGAAAUCUCCGGGCUCAACCCGGAAACUGCCAUUGAUACUAUCAGUCUUGAAUAUCGUGGAGGUAAGCGGAAUAUGUCAUGUAGCGGUGAAAUGCUUAGAUAUGACAUAGAACACCAAUUGCGAAGGCAGCUUACUACCCGAAUAUUGACACUGAGGCACGAAAGCGUGGGGAUCAAACAGG